rnacentral:rRNA from 1 species
UACGUAGGGUGCGAGCGUUGUCCGGAAUUAUUGGGCGUAAAGAGCUUGUAGGCGGUUUGUCGCGUCUGCUGUGAAAAUCCGGGGCUCAACUCCGGACUUGCAGUGGGUACGGGCAGGCUAGAGUGUGGUAGGGGAGACUGGAAUUCCUGGUGUAGCGGUGGAAUGCGCAGAUAUCAGGAGGAACACCGAUGGCGAAGGCAGGUCUCUGGGCCACUACUGACGCUGAGGAGCGAAAGCCAGGGGAGCAAACGGG